AAGAAUGUAAGAAGAAAGCUGAUUGGUUGCUAUGGGCAACUUUGCCUCUGCACAGGUUUUGAUAAAUGUUCCCCCAUAUGCCUAAAGUGCAUACCUUUUUGUGGUUUCCCAGCAGAACAAUGCCCAGGGUAUUACCUUAUGUCUGUCUGCUUGCCUACUUUUCAUAGUGUAUCCAGGUGCCAUCUCUUCUCCAGUGCCUAAAGAAAAUUAAGAAUUUCGUUAAAGCAACACAAACAAGAAAUGACCCAUUACAUAAAACUACUUUGGUGUCAAGCAAAGCCAAGCCUUAUAACCUGCACAGUCCAUUACACCGUCAGAAGAGCAACAUGAGAAACAUGUUCUGUAUACCCAUUGCAUAAAGCUGGCAAGAAAGGAUGAUUUCAACGCAAAGGAUCAUUUGUCAGGUAAA